rnacentral:piRNA from 1 species
UGCUGCCAGCCGUCACGAUUCUGGAUAGUC